CACGUAGUUAGCCGGGGCUUCUUAGUCAGGUACCGUCAUUUUCUUCCCUGCUGAUAGAAGUUUACAUACCGAAAUACUUCAUCCUUCACGCGGCGUCGCUGCAUCAGGGUUUCCCCCAUUGUGCAAUAUUCCCCACUGCUGCCUCCCGUAGGAGUUUGGGCCGUGCCUCAGUCCCAAUGUGGCCGGUCACCCUCUCAGGUCGGCUACUGAUCGUCGCCUUGGUGAGCCUUUACCUCACCAACCAGCUAAUCAGACGCGGGUCCAUCCCAUACCACCGGAGUUUUUACCCCUGCACCAUGCGGCGCUGUGGUCUAUGCGGUAUUAGCAGACAUUUCUAUCUGUUAUCCCCCUGUAUGGGGCAGGUUACCCACGCGUUACUCACCCGUCGCCACUCAGCCACAGUACAAUCAACCCGAAGGAACUCAAAAGUAAAGUGCUUCGUCGACUUGCAUGUGUUAAGCACGCCGCCAGCGUUCAUCCUGAGCCAGGAUACGAAACUCU
rnacentral:rRNA from 1 species